UACGAAGGGUGCAAGCGUUACUCGGAAUUACUGGGCGUAAAGGGUGCGUAGGUGGCGUGGCAAGUCUGAUGUGAAAUCCCGAGGCUCAACCUCGGAACUGCAUUGGAUACUGCCAUGCUAGAGCACUGGAGAGGAGACUGGAAUUUACGGUGUAGCAGUGAAAUGCGUAGAUAUCGUAAGGAAGACCAGUGGCGAAGGCGAGUCUCUGGACAGUUGCUGACACUGAGGCACGAAGGCUAGGGGAGCAAACGGG
rnacentral:rRNA from 1 species